rnacentral:lncRNA from 1 species
CCGGAGUGGCCACCCACAGAGCAGCUCUGGGCUGGACGCUGAGUCAUGAGGCUGUGGUGCCUGCCAGGGGGCGAGGGUGGCAGAUGGCUUUAUGUGGGCGUGAGUGAGGAGGGGGGCAGAUAGGAGGGGCAGUGACCCUGGGCCCAGCAGAGAUCCAGGGAAGUGGCCUGGGAGGUAGGUCUCCAACUCUUCCUUUCCCCCUUCUUCACUGCCAUUUUCCAGGGAUGACCCUUCCUGCUGGGGUAGCCAGCUGUGACUGGGUCGGGGUGGAAAGUGACCCCUGGGAGACCUGAGGCCUGAGGCCCUGGGCUUCCGCUUGACCUGGCUGGGUCAGCCGUGGGAGGCAGAGCCUGGCUCUGUUUAUCCAGGCCGGGCACUUCCGGAGCAGAUGGGCGCCUGUCAGAGCCUCCAGCCAGGAACUGGGCUGAUGUCCUCUCAUUGCCAAGUGGCAGCCACCACCCUCCAGAUAUUGUUGAAAAGAGGUCCAGAGCCUGAUGAUGGAUCUCCAGGCAUUUAAAGCAGAGGUUCCAAGACGUGUUAACAACAGGAGGGAGUAGGGAGUUGCAGCAGAACCUCCUCCCAUUAUCUUCUUUAGUGCACCUGCUCACCACAAGAAUCCCCAGCCAGAGGGAGGGGCAGACCCCUGACCCUGAAGCAGACCCAGCUCCUUCUUCCAGAGAAGCCCACCUGCUGCCACCAGCCAGGCCACUGGGAUACUUCUUUUCCUCUCUCCCUACUCCACAAUUAGGCCCCCAGAAAAAUCUAGCUGAAUUGUUCUCCCGACCUGUGGUUCCCAGACUGAUGCCAUCAGAAUCCCCUGGGGGCUGGUUGAAAUGGCAUGU